UCCCCCAGGAAUAGGUAGCUGGUCCUGGAGGCUACAGGGGGAAGCUUCAAUUCCCAUACUUCUGGCCCCACCUUGAUGACCUUGUGGAACUGGGGAAGGGGAAGUGGUCAUCUCCUGGAGUCCGGCCCCUUCUCCCUUGGAGGACCGGCCCCCACCGACCGAGCCAAGAGCCAUGAAAACAAGAGCCGGGAAAGCUGGCCCCAGGGAUAAAGGAAGCCCAGCGGGUCUGUACAGAUUUAUGAAUCUGGAUGCGAUGUUUCAACCAGUACUUUUGCGUCGGGAGGAGUAAAAGCUGUGGGAUGCAGGA